AUGCUUGUGUUCAGUGCUUCAAUGUUGUUGAUUGAUAUGGAAGUAGUAAGGAUUUGUCGUAGCUUUGUUUAUGCUCUAUAUUUAGCCCUGUUUUUUAAUAUCAAAAGUUCUACUGGAUUUAGUUUUUUUGUGUGCUUUUCUACCUCCAAUUCUUGUUUUUACCAAUUUCACCGAGUAACUUAUAUAUUUUUUUUUUUUGCAAACUUGAGUAAAGUUUGUGUAAAUAAAAGGAAAACAGUGCAUUACAUAUUGGGUGGCAUCAAUCUUGUUUAG